UUAUAUUAUUGGCAGACAAAUGCAAUAAAUUUAGAAUUUAUAUAAGUAUAG
rnacentral:tRNA from 1 species